rfam:Heligmosomoides polygyrus genome assembly, scaffold: HPBE_scaffold0001314
GCGCCGGUGGUGUAAAGGCGUAAAGCAUUCCUGCCCGGUCAGGAGGAGGUGCGGGUUCGAGUCCCGCCCGGCGCU